ensembl:lncRNA
GUGAGGCGGACUUCUCUCCCUCGCCCUUGCGAAGUCUCUCGAAGCUUCCACUCUUUUCCAGAGGCCGACCUCUCCCAUCUCCCUAGGGAGGGCCUGGAGCAAGGGCUGCCUCGGGAUUUCUUCCCGCUGGAUUCGCAUCUAGGCAUUUUCCUUGCGAAGGAGGGGCAUCUCUUAGCAAUUCCUAUCGACUUGUGUGUGUGUGUGUGUGUGUGUGUGUGUGGGGUUAGGGCAGGGAUAAUUCGGAAAUUACCUAUGCUCCUUAGAGGUCCUUAUUAGCAAUGCAGAAAUGGUGAGCGCACUUGCCUGCAGGCCCUCGGACGUGCCAGGCAGAUGCUGGGAGUUCCCACAGACUCAGCCCGAGCAUCGCCCGGCCCUCCUCCGCGAUAUCCUCGGCGUCAGUCUGCGUUUCUCCUUCAAUGCUCCUCUUUGAUGAUCCUUUCCGCCCUUGUAACCCUACGUUUCUCACACGCUGGAGCUGCUGAGGUCAUGUGGCCAGGAGGUCGAAUUUCCCAGUUUUUAAAACAAGAGUUUUUAACCCAAAGAUGGUGGUGGAUGGGUAACAGAAAAGAAGAGAACUUCCCCAGACUCUCCAGCAUUCAAGACGGAAUGUGGGUCUCUCCAAAUCACCUGCCUUUGAUUCUGGCUGAGCUGGGACCUCACCCGCGGGUUAGCCGCUUGGGACAGGGCCCCCCGUAUUUCUCCUGGAGGAGACAGCUGUAUUUCACCAGGCAUGAAGUGAUUUAUGUGCACAAUUUAAAUAGUAUUUUGGAGCUCUGAGGAAUGCAAAAUGCAGCAUGACUUGAAGAGCCCCAGGGCAUGGUUGUGUAUCCUAGCUGUAAGUCCUUCUUGAUCUCUGUGGGAGCCGCUGCCACAGCAUGGCCACUGACAGACGGGUGGUGUGGUUCCGCACCCGGGAACUGAACCCAGGCUGCUGAAGUGGUGAGAGCACCAAACUUUAACCACUAGGCCUUCAGGGCUGGCUCUAUUUUGCAUGUUUUUAAUCUUGACGUAGACAGUGUCAUAGUGUACCUCCAUUUCUGCAAUUUUCAGGUAUAUCACGCCAUGUUAUAUUUUUGUGAUGUACUCCCCUUGAUUACAGUAGCUCUGCUUCCUUCCUGUUAACUGCAGCCUGGACAUCCACUGUGUAGACAUCCAUGCUUCUGUGAUGGAUGUAAGCUGUUGCUACUCCUUCUCUAUCAUAAACACUGUUGCAAGGACCUCUCUUGUGUGUGUCUUUGUGCACAUGUGAAGACUUUCACCCAGGAGUGGAAAUGUUUCAGGAUUGUAAACACUGUAUACAAUCUGUGACUUUAUUAGCUGCUACUUAAUUGCUCUCCAGAGUGACCAGGUUUACAUUUUCGCUGUAGAAAUAUAAGAAAAUACAGAUUACAGAUGAGAAAAGACAGAAAAGGAAAAAUCCUUCCCCAUUUCUCUAUCCAAAGAAACCCACUUUCGGGCCCGGCCUGUGGCCAGGUGGUUAAGUUUGUGUGCUCUGCUUUGUCAACCUUGGAUUUCGCUGGUUCGGAUCCUGGGCAUGGACCUAGCACUGCUCAUCAGGCCAUCCUGAGACAGUGGCCCACAUAGCACAGCUAGAAGGACCCACAACCAGAAUAUAGAACUAUGUAUUAGGGGGCUUUGGGAGAAGAAGAAAAAGAAAAAGAAAGAAAAAAAAAAGAAGAUUGGCAACUGAUGUGCCAAUCUUUAAAAAAAAAAAGAAACCCAUUUUUAACUUAAAAAAUUUUUAUUUGGUUUAUUGAUUUUCCAGGGUUAUUCUUCUGUGAUAUAUAUGUAUCUAAGUACACGUUUAUCAUAUAUGUACACAUAUAAAUACAUAUAUCUUACGUGGAUAUAUAUACACACACACACAAAUAUAUAUGUAUGUAUAUAUAUUUAUAUUUAAAGUUUGGGAAUCC